rnacentral:rRNA from 1 species
GACGAACGCUGGCGGCGUGCUUAACACAUGCAAGUCGAACGGACCCUUUGGGGUUAGUGGCGAACGGGUGAGUAACACGUGGGUGAUCUGCCCUGCACUUUGGGAUAAGCCUGGGAAACUGGGUCUAAUACCGGAUAGGACUACGCACUGCAUGGUGUGUGGUGGAAAGCUUUUGCGGUGUGGGAUGGGCCCGCGGCCUAUCAGCUUGUUGGUGGGGUGAUGGCCUACCAAGGCGACGACGGGUAGCCGGCCUGAGAGGGUGACCGGCCACACUGGGACUGAGAUACGGCCCAGACUCCUACGGGAGGCAGCAGUGGGGAAUAUUGCACAAUGGGCGCAAGCCUGAUGCAGCGACGCCGCGUGAGGGAUGACGGCCUUCGGGUUGUAAACCUCUUUCGCCAGGGACGAAGCGCAAGUGACGGUACCUGGAGAAGAAGGACCGGCCAACUACGUGCCAGCAGCCGCGGUAAUACGUAGGGUCCGAGCGUUGUCCGGAAUUACUGGGCGUAAAGAGCUCGUAGGUGGUUUGUCGCGUUGUUCGUGAAAACUCACAGCUUAACUGUGGGCGUGCGGGCGAUACGGGCAGACUGGAGUACUGCAGGGGAGACUGGAAUUCCUGGUGUAGCGGUGUAAUGCGCAGAUAUCAGGAGGAACACCGGUGGCGAAGGCGGGUCUCUGGGCAGUAACUGACGCUGAGGAGCGAAAGCGUGGGGAGCGAACAGGAUUAGAUACCCUGGUAGUCCACGCCGUAAACGGUGGGUACUAGGUGUGGGUUUCCUUCCUUGGGAUCCGUGCCGUAGCUAACGCAUUAAGUACCCCGCCUGGGGAGUACGGCCGCAAGGCUAAAACUCAAAGGAAUUGACGGGGGCCCGCACAAGCGGCGGAGCAUGUGGAUUAAUUCGAUGCAACGCGAAGAACCUUACCUGGGUUUGACAUGCACAGGACGCCGGCAGAGAUGUCGGUUCCCUUGUGGCCUGUGUGCAGGUGGUGCAUGGCUGUCGUCAGCUCGUGUCGUGAGAUGUUGGGUUAAGUCCCGCAACGAGCGCAACCCUUGUCUCAUGUUGCCAGCACGUUAUGGUGGGGACUCGUGAGAGACUGCCGGGGUCAACUCGGAGGAAGGUGGGGAUGACGUCAAGUCAUCAUGCCCCUUAUGUCCAGGGCUUCACACAUGCUACAAUGGCCGGUACAAAGGGCUGCGAUGCCGUGAGGUGGAGCGAAUCCUUUCAAAGCCGGUCUCAGUUCGGAUCGGGGUCUGCAACUCGACCCCGUGAAGUCGGAGUCGCUAGUAAUCGCAGAUCAGCAACGCUGCGGUGAAUACGUUCCCGGGCCU